GACGAACGCUGGCGGCGUGCUUAACACAUGCAAGUCGAACGGAAAGGCCCUGCUUUUGUGGGGUGCUCGAGUGGCGAACGGGUGAGUAACCCGUGAGUAACCUGCCCUUGACUUUGGGAUAACUUCAGGACACUGGGGCUAAUCCCGGAUAGGAGCUCCUGCUGCAUGGUGGGGGUUGGAAAGUUUCGGCGGUUGGGGAUGGACUCGCGGCUUAUCAGCUUGUUGGUGGGGUAGUGGCUUACCAAGGCUUUGACGGGUAGCCGGCCUGAGAGGGUGACCGGCCACAUUGGGACUGAGAUACGGCCCAGACUCCUACGGGAGGCAGCAGUGGGGAAUAUUACACAAUGGGCGGAAGCCUGAUGCAGCACCGCCGCGUGCGGGAUGACGGCCUUCGGGUUGUAAACCGCUUUCGCCUGUGACGAAGCGUGAGUGACGGUAAUGGGUAAAGAAGCACCGGCUAACUACGUG
rnacentral:rRNA from 1 species